UGAGGAAUUUUGGACAAUGGAGGCAACUCUGAUCCAGCGACGCCGCGUGUUGGACGACGGGGCUUAGCCCUGUAAACAACUGUCGGAUGGGGAAAAAAGUCUGCUACGGUGGACUGGGCUUGUACCAUCAAAGGAAGGGUCGGCUAACUACGUGCCAGCAGCCGCGGUAAUACGUAGGACCCGAGCGUUGUCCGGAUUUACUGGGUAUAAAGGGUGCGCAGGCGGGCUUGUGCGUCAGGGGUUAAAGACCUCGGCUUAACCGAGGGAGUGCCUUUGAUACGGCAGGUCUUGAAUGUGAGAGAGGAUGAUAGAAUUCCUGGUGUAGCGGUGGAAUGCGUAGAUAUCAGGAGGAAUACCAUUGGCGAAGGCGGUCAUCUGGCUCAUUAUUGACGCUUAGGCACGAAAGCGUGGGGAUCAAACAGG
rnacentral:rRNA from 1 species